UACAGAGGUGGCAAGCGUUGUUCGGAAUUACUGGGCGUAAAGGGCGCGUAGGCGGCCAUCUAAGUCAGACGUGAAAUCCCCAGGCUUAACCUGGGAACUGCGUCUGAUACUGGAAGGCUCGAGUUCGGGAGAGGAAUGUGGAAUUCCAGGUGUAGCGGUGAAAUGCGUAGAUAUCUGGAGGAACACCGGUGGCGAAGGCGGCAUUCUGGACCGAAACUGACGCUGAGGCGCGAAAGCCAGGGGAGCAAACGGG
rnacentral:rRNA from 1 species